rnacentral:rRNA from 1 species
GACGAACGCUGGCGGCGUGCUUAACACAUGCAAGUCGAACGGAGUGGCGAACGGGUGAGUAACACGUGGGUGACCUGCCCUGCACUUCGGGAUGAGCCUGAGAAACUGGGUCUAAUACCGGAUAGUGUGGGAUGGGCCCGCGGCCUCUCAGCUUGUUGGUGGGGUAAUGGCCUACCAAGGCGGCGACGGGUAGCCGGCCUGGGAGGGUGCACGGCCACAGUGGGACUGAGACACGGCCCAGACUCCUACGGGAGGCAGCAGUGGGGAAUAGUGCACAAUGGGCGGAAGCGUGAUGCAGCGACGCCGCGGGGGGGAUGACGGCCUUCGGGUUGUAAACUCCUUUCACCAUCGACGCGGUAGAUGGAGAAGAAGCACCGGCUAACUACGUGCCAGCAGCCGCGGUAAUAC